UACGAAGGGUGCUAGCGUUGUUCGGAGUUACUGGGCGUAAAGGGUGCGUAGGCGGCUUUUUAAGUUUGGUGUGAAAUCUCCCGGCUCAACUGGGAGGGUGCGCCGAAUACUGAGAAGCUAGAGUGUGGGAGAGGAAAGUGGAAUUCCUGGUGUAGCGGUGAAAUGCGUAGAUAUCAGGAGGAACACCGGUGGUGUAAACGGCUUUCUGGACCAUAACUGACGCUGAGGCACGAAAGCGUGGGUAGCAAACAGG
rnacentral:rRNA from 1 species